GAGAGGACGACGACCAGAGAGGAAGGCAUCGAGAGACACGCAGGAGAAGACGCGCCCGUGCGACAGCGUCGAUGGAGUUGGCAUCUUGCCGGAGGAGACGUACAUAAAAGAUGCUGCUGCGGCGGCGCUGGGGCCGAUCAGACGACGAGAAGCGGCAGCGCCCGGGAGGACGACGACUCGGAAGCUGCCCGAUCUUGGCCGGCGCGUCGGCAGUGGCAACGACGCCCUCAUCACCCUCUUUCUUUUCUUUGUCGUUGUUUUACCAGGGCUCACGGCACGGCCAGAGGGAGGAGAGCCAGCCCACGAACGCAUCUCACGCACCAAAGCAAAGCAAGAGGCAGCCGGCGAAACCACGUGGAAGAAGACGCCCCCGUGGCGGCGGCGUCGACGACGAGACGCACCCAUCAAGCAAUGAUCUUUAUGUUAUCAUCUAUUUUGCAGGAUGGCUAAGGACGCUAGGGGAGGCCUUGCACCAGGAGGAACGCCCCAUGAGGCGACGGCGCGCCCACGGCCGCGCAAUCGCAAACCAUACACCAGAUGUGAUGGACGAGGAGGAAGAGGUGCCGGCGACGGCGGCGGUCUGCCCACGGCGAGCAUGCAGGCGUCGGAGGAGAUGAAGAAACGGAAGCAGACCAAGCCCCGCUAACUAAUUCUAUUUGUUACUAUGUCUUUCAUCCAUCAGGUUCUACACGAGAAGAACAACCGGAAGAAGGAGGCGGAGUCCUGCACACACAAACAUCCGGAGAGAAGACAAGGCGAAGACGCGCCCCUGGUGGCAGCGUCGAGGAGAUCGGAGGGCGCGCCCUUGCGGCCGCGCGUGCGCCAAGGGGCACCCAGCCGAGAUAGAGGCGCAAGCACACAUGGGAGACUCGUCCAUGGCGGCGAUAUGCUGCAGGGUGCGUCGCACACGACGAGCAUACCGGGCUCGAGAUGCAUGCACAUGCAACAACCUUCUUCUUUUCAUUUCCUUAGCAGGUGCAGGUUCCUCGGAAACGGAAGAGAGACCACGCCUCACGCACGCACCAGGAGGCACCAGGAGGGAUAGCAAUCCAGGAGGCGACGGCGCCGGGCAGGAAGAGACGCCGGCCAUGACGGUGGCCUGACCAUGGUGCUAUGGGAGAAAAGACCAAGAGAGGAGAUGCGCCGUAGCGGCAGCGUCGAGAAGGUCGAGACAAAGAUGGCAGCCUGCCGAGACAGAUGCGCCCAUGGCGGCGGCUCGCUCGCUGCGGUGCAAGUACACGCGCGAGAAGACCGGCGAGAGGAUGCGGCGGCGGCAGCGGCAGAGACACCUCUCCGAGCUCGACGACGGCAACGGCAACACACACGAGGCCGUUUCGUGUAGUCAAGCUAGCUCGUCUUGAAUUGCAUGGCACAUGCAUGCAAGGGCACGUACGACGUGUGCUUUUCUCUUCA